AUUGAACGCUGGCGGCAGGCCUAACACAUGCAAGUCGAACGAGUGGCGGACGGGUGAGUAAUGUAUGGGAAACUGCCUGAUGGAGGGGGAUAACUACUGGAAACAGUAGCUAAUACCGCAUACCAUUAGAUCGGCCCAGAUGGGAUUAGCUAGUUGGUGGGGUAACGGCGCACCAGGGCCACGAUCCCUAGCUGGUCUGAGAGGAUGACCAGCAACACUGGAACUGAUCCACGGUCCAUACUCCUACGGGAGGCAGCAGUGGGGAAUAUUGCACAAUGGGCGCAAGCCUGACUCAGCCAUGCCGCGUGUAUGAAGAAGGCCUUCGGGUUGUAAAGUACUUUCAGCGGGGAAGCGGUACCCGCAGAAGAAGCACCGGCUAACUCCGUGCCAGCAGCCGCGGUAAUAC
rnacentral:rRNA from 1 species